AAACGCCUAUAUUUAGUAAGUCAAAUCACUGUGAGUUUUGUAAAUAAAAGUUCGUGCAAAAAGUUAGAGUAUGAGGCUAUUAGCCAUGAAACCUGUCUUGGAGGAGCAUAAUAAAGUAAAUAUUUGGUUCUGGUAUAAUGUUAGCUACAGAGUUUUUUACAUUACACAAUGUAGGAUAAUUUCGUGAUGUGUAAAAGUCUGAUUUACGUGAUAAGCCAAGCUUAAUGCAUCCUAAAAGGAAUAGUUGGCAGCAGGAGCAUAAGUUUUUAAUGAUGACGCGAAGGAAAUCACAACUCAAGUGGGUAGAUCUGGAAAUCAAUGAGUUCUAGCUUGAAACGAAUAAAAAACUAACUAAAUCGAAGCGAAAGAGGGUGCCAGCAGCUGCGGUCACUCCCUCUCUCGAGGAGCUAAUAAGGGUGCAGCUUAGAGGCAGUUAGUCAAAAAUGUGUGACGCAAGACAUACAGCAAGGACUAUGGGUGAAAUCUCAGUCUUGCGGGAGGUCCAAAGCUUGCGUAAAGAUGAAUCUGCGAAGUUAUGGGCAUAGACCCGGAUUUGGUACCCGGUUAUUCCAUAAUGUCAAGUAUAGCUAUUUUAUUUGAAUUAAUAGUUUGCUAGGGGUACUACGAGCAACUGCUUAAAACUCGAAGAACUUGGCGGUUCCGCAUAACCAUCCAGAGGCUCUUGGCGCUUAAUCUGAUGAUCCGCGUGAUAUCUUACCUGCCCUAUAGAAAGCAGUGUACUGCCGUCGAAAGCUUAUGAUGUGAGUAAAUAAAAAUAGGCCCAAUCUUGGGGUUUUAAGCAAUUAAUAAUCAUGCCGAGGCUAGGUCAGGUCGAAGUGCUCCUUAUGGGCAAGGGGUUAGCUGAGAGACAAAUAUUUAGACAUAUAAAGAUUUUAGGGAUGAAAUUCUCUUAGUGUAUAUAAGGAUUUGGGAGUAAAAAGAGAGUAACUCGUUUUUUUGAAAAGACGCAACUGCGGUGCGUUCAAAUCGCCCGUCACCCUAGCCGAAAGGAGAGGUAAGUCGUAACAUGGUAAGGGUAGGGGAACUUGCUCUUUUAAUGAUAAGGGAGAAGUAAAGUAAGUGCAGUGAGAUUAGGUUUACAAGUUAAAUACUCUUGCUCAAUAAAGCCCACAUUAAGUGCGCUAGCUGUCUAAAGAUUACUAAAGAUUGGCGCAUAAGCUAAGGAUUUUAUUAUUUAGUAAAAGG
rnacentral:rRNA from 1 species